UACGUAUUUUAUUAGCCGGGCACGUGAGGAGUUGUUUGUGUCAUAUAGGAAUAGCGUGGACUUGAGCCCUCCCUCUCGGAAUUCGCGCUGCAGUAGAGGGUACUUGAGACUCUGGCGAUGUGAUCCGAGCGGCGAUAUUCGCGGGCGCGGGACUCCGCUCGCUGCAUCCCUCUUGCUCCCGGUCGCGGCGCGCGGCGAGCGGCGCUCGGCGGGCGGGAGGCGCCCGGCGUCACUCACGUCGACUCGGUCUCCUCGGUCGUGUGUCCGAACCUCUCCUGUCCGCGACGUGCGAUCUCUCCGAACCCUACCGGUACUAACGUACACGCCGCGUCCUAGACGCGACUCUUAACAACAUAUCCCUAGCGCUUAACCCUUCACAGACCCGUUAACCUGGGCUCCGUAGUAACGGUCUGUAUUCUUUCAAAGUUCUUGAGUUUCGAAGUUUUCUCUCAGUGUUGCGGACUAUCUAAAUACAACGCGUCAGCGUUUAAACUUAAAGGGCUUGUGUCCUACCGUAAAUAAAGGAUUAUUUGGAUUGACGGAAAGUGUCUGAACUUCUGAGGUGAAGCGAGCUGCCUUCGCGUUCCAUUUGCAUCUGUCAAACAGAUUGUUGGUACAUCGUAACAAAGAAAUCAUCUGCGAGAUAAUAUUGAAUGCAGCGUUAAAUUUGUGGCAUCACGCAGAUUUCUCUGAAACUAUAACACGUGCCCUAAAGGAUAUU